GGUUGGGUAGCCUAGCAGUUAAGGCAGCCCAUGUGUGUUGGGUCCAGAUCCAUUGGAUAUGGUCACUGGUUUGAAUCCAGCCCUGACCA
rnacentral:tRNA from 1 species